GUCAACACCCCUGUCUAAAGGCGAGGGGCUUCCAGCCUCAAACUUUUAGGAUUAGUUGACCAGACUAAGUACUUCGUGUACUACGUUAUUGGCAAGUGUUAAAGUUCCUACCUUGGAAUGCGAAGCUAGUUCCAAGCUCUAGA
rnacentral:sRNA from 19 species